rnacentral:sRNA from 1 species
CAGGUUUUGGGGUGUUCUACCAGUCCUAAGUGAACAUGCAGGAAACAGAAAAUCAAGCAGAAACAAUAAAACACUCGACCAACACAACUUGUUGCAGAGCACUGGGUGUGGUCAAUUGACUGGUCGAGUAAUAGACAGAAAAUGUAACAUGGAUACUCGACUGCACAGUCUGUUACCAGACAACAGGGUGGUCGAGUAUCAGGUCGAGUAACAUGCAAAAAUUACAAA